rnacentral:rRNA from 1 species
CGACUCUCGACAACGGAUAUCUCGGCUCUCGCAUCGAUGAAGAACGUAGCGAAAUGCGAUACUUGGUGUGAAUUGCAGAAUCCCGUGAACCAUCGAGUCUUUGAACGCAAGUUGCGCCCGAAGCCACUAGGCUGAGGGCACGCCUGCCUGGGUGUCACGCAUC